UCCUCGUCCUCAAUGGUAUCAAAGAAGCUUUCCCGUCGUCAUCUCGUCGAAGGUCGAGACACGGGCGAACAAUUCAAGAACGUCGUCAAGAAAGAAGGCUCAAUCUGUUAAUAGCGCAUUUCCUCCUGUUCUCUUUCACUUUUCUUGAUUUCUUUUUGGAUUGAUCCAGGAUUCUUGUGGACUAUUUAGAUUAAACCCUAGCAAUCCAUUUUGAUAUAGCAUUAAUUUUCCGGCGGAUCCUGAUGUUGAUUUCUGAGAUUUUGUUGGCUUUAACCCGAGAAAAUCAAAUUUAUGUCUUUCUUUUGUGCUAAGAGGUCAAAUUCUAGAAACCUAUUUUGAUAGUGGCAUCAGUUUCCUGGAUUAUGGUAUGUAUGCGUUUGUCGCAUUUAUUCAAUCAGAUAACUUUUUGCAAGUGUUUGUUCCUUUCUGUCAAGGUCUGAAGUGUUUGAGAUCCGUCCCAAAUCAAACCUAGAAGGCUCAAGCCACAUUAUCCAGAAUCUGGCCAUGGCUAUUGAUAGUGAGUAUGAUAACUAUUUACAAGAAGAUGGGUCACCCAACAGGAGAGAGAGUGAGUGGAGACACUGCCAUGGCGGUUUUAACGAGAACAGAGCUGGACCUAGCAUAUUCUUCGGAAAAAUUACUGAACUUGGAGAUACUUUUGAUGCAAGUGUCAAGCAGAGCAAGGGAUUUUGAAGCUCUGACCACAGAGUAUGAGGACAUCUCUAAUGAGUCCAUUGAGAAGGCCUUUGAAUUUGAUGCUUUGUCUGGAAUUUUGAACAUGGAGGUCAAAGAACUAGACAACUUUAUGGCUUCGCUCCAAAUGGAAAUCAUGGAUGCCCACCCGAAGCUUUCUUGGGAUGACCACUUGGGAGAAUCAUCAAUAAAAAUAGAAGAGAAGUUGCGUGAUGCUGAGGAAUCCAUAAAGCAGUUACAAGAUUUAGUUGCUGAUAUUAGAAUGCAAUCAGCCAAGUUUGAAGGAACCCUAGCUUUUGCUCAUAAUGAAACUCGGACUGGUGGAGAUGAAGAGAUGGAGAAUGGCCAUUUUUCUUCCAUGAAUAGUAAGUGGAAACUGCAGACAGUGGAUCAGCAAAGACAUCUUCUACAGAUACUGGAGAAAUCUUUGGCCAGGGAGAUGGAUCUUGAAAAGAAGCUGUCAGAUUCAAGAUCUAAUGAAGAGGACCUCAAAUUAAAGCUGCACUAUGCAGAAAGGGAGUCAUAUUUAAUGGAAGAAACACUGGAAAUGAUUUUGGAGAAAAUGUUUGAGGCAGAAAAUGCUGCCGAGCUCCUUCUGGGCAUUGCAAAAGAAUUAAUAGGAAAGUUCCAGAUUGUUCAGCUAAACCUAAAUGGGUCAUUACAUAGAGAAUGUGAAAUGAGAACCAAGUUGCAGGAAAGUAUGACGAAAUUAUCUGCUGAAGAAAGUGCUCUGGAGAAGCUGAAAACUAGUUGUGCAGAACUUGAUAACAUCCUUGUAGUACAAGAAAAUGGCCUAAAAGCCAGCCUUAAAGAAGCUGAUUGUAAAUGCAUGCUUGUUAGUUCUGAUGUCUUGACUUUAAUAGAAAAGGUGAGAGCACUUGAGGAGCAGUUAAGUGAAUCUGAUAUCCAGUUGCAGAUGGCAAAGGCCUCUGUGGAAGCUAGUCAGGAACAGCAGACUUUGUUACAUUCUGAACUUAGUCAGCUGGAAAAUGUAAUUGAGGGUCUGAAGGAAAAUGUCUGGAAAACAGAAAGCAGGGCUGAAAGUGCAGAAGCUAGGCGUAUGCAAUUAACUAAAACUAACAUGGAACUUAAUGAGAAGCUAGGUUUACUUAGAAAUAGUGGAUCAGAAAAGGCAAUAUUGUUAGAGACGAAGCUCAAGGAAUCAAAUAGACAGUUAGAACAUGCAAAAGCAUCUGUUGAAGCGAUGGAGCAGCAGCAGAAUAUGUUAUACACUGCACUUAGUGAUAUGGAACAUAUUAAUAAGGAACUUAAGGGAAAGGUUGCAAAAGCUGAAAGUAGGGCUGAGAAUGCUGAAUCUAAGUGUACUCUGUUAACUGAAACCAAUUUGGAACUAAAUGAAGAGCUGGGUUAUGUGAGAAGCAGAUUGGAAUGUUUAGAGACAUCUUUGAAUCAGACCGAUGAUGCGAAAGUAGCCACUGCCAAGGACAUUGGUAUCAGGAGUAAAAUCAUUACUGACCUUGUUAUGAAACUAUCAUUGGAAAGAGAGUGUCUUCAAUUACAGAUAUCUGCAUUAAGAAAAAAGAACAAAGUCCUGGCGGAGAGAUGCAAAACAAAGGAUAAUGCCCCUAUUACUCCGAGCCACAAGGGCAGCGAUGAUGGGAAUGAAUUUAGUAUCCUAAAACAAUCUGAAGAAGCAUUAACAGAAUCUUCAACUACAAAUUUCCAGGGUCUAUACCAAUUUACUAUUACCCACUAGCGGGGGUCGUAUACCGAGUUACUGAAUUCAAGGAUAUUCUAUGAUCAGUACUUUCCUAAGUCACUAAGGCUAUUAAAGGAGAAUGAGUUUGUCUUUGAGGCAGUCAAAGAAUAUGACAGUGCUGCAAUAUGCUAACAAAUUCAAUGAAUCAGGUCGGUUCUGUCCUCUGCUUAUGGAGGACGAUCAGAGCAAGGCCAAUAGAUUUGAGCAGGGCUUGAGAUACAAGAUUCGAUCUCGGUUGUCAGUUCUGAUUUUUACCAGUUACAGGGAGUACUGGACAGGGUUCUGAAAGUUGAAGCUGAACUGGUGAGAUCAGAAAAAGAAAGAGGUGACUAGAAGAGGCCUAGGAUAUCGGGGAGUCAGCAUGUUAGGCCAAGGAACUUUGGGGGUAAUGCAAACAAAAAGAAAUUUGGGGCCUGUACCUUCUGUGGCAAGUCUCAUAGUGGGCCGUCUUAAAAAGAUAGGAGCAUGUUUCUAUUGUGGUCGCUUGAACACAUAGCACGUGACCGUCAGAAGAAGAAUGACCCAAGACCUACUGGAUCAGGUGAUCAGAGGCAGAAGGGGACUGCUCGGGUGUUCGCGCUGACUCGACAGGACAUCAGUGCUAGCAACAGGGUGGUGACAGGUAGGUAAGCCAGCUGUGGCUAUACCUGUCCAUGAUACAGGCACAGACACGACAGUUUCAGAAGAGGAUUCUUCAGGUGCAGAAUGUAAAAUUGAGAGUGUGAGGACUAUAGAAGCCACACAGCUUACUCCUGUGUUUUUGUUGAUGGUUUUCCUUGUCUUGCUGAUCUCUGUUCUUACAUUUUAUGUAUAUCAACGA